AUGUGUACUAUUUUGUUCAACCAUUUUAUGUCUCUGAUCCUUUGUUUUCCUUAUUCUCCCAGCAGCUCCUACUCUACUCUAUUCCAUCAGAAGCUGAAAGGUGUUGCAGCUUUGCCCUUCACCUAUUCUUUCCACUACACAGGGCUACCUGGAAAACCACUUCAAACACAAACAUUUUGUCUUCCAUCUGGCUCAGCUGCACAGAGCCUCACAAGAGUAACAGGACUGUUGAAGUUUGAUUUUUUUUCCUGUUUACAAACUGCAUUGCUUUUGUAA
rnacentral:lncRNA from 1 species